rnacentral:rRNA from 1 species
GUGCUCCUACGGGGGGCAGCAGUCGGGAAUAUUGCGCAAUGGAGGAAACUCUGACGCAGUGACGCCGCGUGCAGGAAGAAGGUUUUCGGAUUGUAAACUGCUUUAGACAGGGAAGAAAGAAAUGACGGUACCUGUAGAAUAAGCUCCGGCUAACUACGUGCCAGCAGCCGCGGUAAUACGUGGGGAGCAAGCGUUAUCCGGAUUUAUUGGGGGUAAAGGGUGCGAAGACGGG